rnacentral:lncRNA from 1 species
AUGUCCCCGCCCGCCGCCCCCUCACAGAGCUCGCCGUGCUGGACGCACCUCCCCGCCGCCGUCACCCCCAUCACAGCAAUCCCUAACCUACCUGCUCUGCAGGGUUUGGAAGGCGCCGGUCCCGCACCCACAGCGGGCGGCAGUGUCCAGGGGAGCGGCCGGGGCUGGGCGGGCUGCAGCGGGGGCAGGGCCGAGCCCACCGCCCACAACCCCGCGGGAACCUGCGGCAUCACACAGCGACCCCACGUGACCCCUCCGCGGGGUCCAGGCGGCCGCGCAGGGCCUCGCGGGAGUCCGCCGCACAGCACCCUGGGAGCGGCCCCGUGGUGGGGGUUUGUGCGCAGGCGCAGCCCCGCCCCCGGAAGCCCAUUAUGUGUGGCUUUUGAAACAGGAGCCCAUGCAGCCAUGACCUGCAUAUGAAGACAGAGAGCCAGAGAGCUGAAGGUGGAAUUUGCAGCACUGACAACUCCAUUCACACACAGCUGUCUACUUAUCAGACCCCAUGAGCCCAAGGUACUCUGUUCUCUUACUGGCUCUGGAAAACGUAAGGCUCAGUGAUUUGUAAAUGUACAUCAACUCUCUGAGAGAGGUAGACUCAAAGCUAAUUUUAGAAUACGAAGAAAACCACUGUGUGCUUUCUCUUAGAUUUCUAGAUGGCAUGGUUGACUUAAUUUUACACACAAACAAGUUAUUCACAUUUCGGAGAAUAUUAUCAACUCAGUUCAGUUCAGCGCAGUACUUGUUUGUUGAGCUGCUGAAUCUGGGGGAAGUGGAGUUCAGAUUCCUCCUUUGCUACACAGAGAAGUAGAAUUAUUGGGUCCAAGGAGACAACCAUUCCUAGGACUCUUGAAGUCUGUGUUCCAAUUCCUUUCCAGUAGAGUUUAAUUUUUCACCUACCUUUCAUCCUUUUCCUGUGGGGACUGUGGAUGUCCACAUUCUGAGAGCAGUAUUUCUCCUGCAAGACAUUGGUUCCCCCCUCCUUCAGAGUGAGAGCCACUGCUCUGCACAGCUGAGACCAGGCUUGGGCACCUGCAUGACAGCUACAUGGAGCCAGGCUUUUCCUGAGUGCCACCUGCAUGCCACCUAGGGCUAUGUGUGACACCCAGCACACGCUGGUACAGCCUAGGAGGAGGGGACCCCCAUGAUAGUUGCGGAAUGAGUGAAUGCAUGAGUCUUCUUAAGCUCACACCCUCUCCUCUUCCUUGUCGUCUCCAGCAGGCCUGACGCUGACCCCUCCCUUGCCACAGCCAUGACUGCUCAUAUCACUGGUUUGGCUACUUGUGUUCAACUUGCUUAUCACAUUGUUCACAUAUCAUUUUGAAAAGAUCUGAAACAGCUUGCGCCUAGACAUAUAACAUGUGUUAUGGUGCCUUGGUGCAUUUGUAACACUCCCGUGGAGAGGAGUACCAGAAAUUCACCAGGGAAAUGCUAUUUUUCUGUCUUGGUCUCUGACCUUGUCCUAUCUAAAAUAAAGCCCUCCCUCCCAGUGUUAAAUUGCAUUUCUUCUGUUUGCUUGUCAUCUUGUGUCUUUGUGAUAUUUUCUAUCAGGUCCAGUGUCCCUCUCCUGGAGUUUGGGGAAAGACAGAGUGACAAGAGGGUGCAAUGGAUCAUGUGACCAACAAGCCAUGUUUUUAGUUGGGGAAUAUGUUGACAUUGGUGCAUUUUGCAGAAUCUGGGGCUUGAAGCUGUGAUUUUGGUAGGUGGGUAGACACAGGCUUCCUGCGUGCACCUUGUGGGCAGUCAGCGCUCGGGUUGUCCAUGGGGCAGGGCUCUAGCUAACAGGCAACUGCCCCUUGAACAGCAUCCCCUCCUACUAAAGCACACUGAAAAAGGUGUGGUCAGAAUUCUCUACCACUCACCUCAUGUCUCAAGUGAACCAAUGAAUACAUGGAUGCUUUUCAUGCAUUAGUCUGAUUUGCCUCCUGAGAGAUUUUUAAAAGUAAUUUUCAUGUAGAUCUAUCUUCUUCUCACCCUGAGGUAACAAAGACUGAUUUUCCUCUUCCCCUCCAACUCCAGUGAGGCUAUGUAUCCUCCGGCAUUUAGCAAGGCAAUCCCACAGGCUGGGGGUGUGUGAAUUGCAUUAUGAAAAUAACAUAUGGCAGACAUGAUAGUGGGGAUGUAUAUCCUUGUUAAACCUCUGUACUUCAGAGGAGGAAUCAGUGUGGACAUUCAGGGUGUGAGGUCACUAUCUAUGGAACCCAAUGGGGCUGAAAUGUUGGGAUGUUUAGCCAUAGGUGUGGAAUUACAAGAGGAAAAUGUUUCCUCGGCGUGUGGUCCAGACUGGUUUUGAGGAAGGGAAGAGCAUGGAAUGAGCUCGGAUCACCUGGGCAUCCUAGAUGAAAAGACUCAUGUGCUCAGAUCUCUCCUGAAAACACUAUGGAAGCUCUUAGAGGUUGUGACCUUGUCCCUCUACAGUAUAGAUAGGCAGGUGCUGUGGACUGGAUGUUGGUGUCCUGUCUCCCAUCCCCUAUUCAUAUGUUGAACCCCUAAGCCCCAAUGCAGUGAUAUUCUUUGGGAGGUCAUUAGGGUUAGAUUAGUCAUAAGGGUGGGCCCCUCAUGACUGGAUUAAUGGCUUCACAAAAGACAGACAGGAGCCCUCUCUUCCCCAUGGAAGGAUACGGUGAGAAGACAGUGAUCUAUGAACUGGGCAGUGGGCUCUCACCAGAUACCACACCUGUUGGCACCUUGACCUUGGACUUACAGCUACCAGGAAUAUGAUAGGUGAGAGCUUGUAGUUUAAGCCACCAGUCUGUGGUAUUUUGUUGUAGCAGCCUGAACUAAGACAGCCGGUAUUUUCAUGUCCACUUAGAUAUUUUGCCAUCU